UACGGAGGGGGCGAGUGUUGUUCGGAAUUACUGGGCGUAAAGGGCGCGCAGGCGGCUUGGCAAGUCGAGUGUGAAAUCCCUUGGCUUAACUGAGGAAUGGCGCUCGAAACUACCUCGCUGGAGGGCGGGAGAGGGAAGUGGAACUCUCGGUGUAGGGGUGAAAUCUGUAGAUAUCGAGAGGAACACCGGUGGCGAAGGCGGCUCCUGGCCCGU
rnacentral:rRNA from 1 species